UACGGAGGGGGCUAGCGUUGUUCGGAAUUACUGGGCGUAAAGCGCACGUAGGCGGCUUUGUAAGUUAGAGGUGAAAGCCCAGAGCUCAACUCUGGAACUGCCUUUAAGACUGCAUCGCUUGAAUUGUGGAGAGGUAAGUGGAAUUCCGAGUGUAGAGGUGAAAUUCGUAGAGAUUAGGAAGAACACCAGUGGCGAAGGCGACUUACUGGACUGUAACUGACGCUGAGGCAUGAAAGCGUGGGGAGCAAACAGG
rnacentral:rRNA from 1 species